UACGUAGGUGACAAGCGUUGUCCGGAUUUACUGGGCGUAAAGAGCGCGCAGGCGGUCGUUCAAGUCGAGUGUGAAAGCCCCCGGCUCAACUGGGGAGGGUCAUUCGAUACUGAUCGACUCGAAGGCAGGAGAGGGUAGUGGAAUUCCCGGUGUAGUGGUGAAAUACGUAGAUAUUAGGUGGAACACCGGUGGGGAAGCCGGGUGCCUGGCCCAACAUUGACAUUUAGGCUCGAAAGCGUGGGGAUCAAACAGG
rnacentral:rRNA from 1 species